AUAAUAACGCGUUAUGCAUACCGCAUGCCAUAGUAAUUGUAUAGCAACGACAAAGUCUUCUACGAAAACAAUCAAACCUGAUUACCAUCCACCGGGGAUACAUCCGAUUGUUCGAAAUUGAACGAGAUAUUAACAAGAAGUUUCACGUACCGAUCAUAAUUCGUAAGACACUGAUAAAAAUCGCUUAUCAUCGUUAUCGAAACUUGUGUCUCAUACGGCCUGUCGAUGUCCGCAGUACGUACAAACGUGUCUUUUAUCUUUGUACAGGUAUAUUUCCUAUAACUGUGUGCAAUACAACACAUUAGUAUAAUACAAUAUUUGUGCAUGUAAUACAUUAACAGAUCAAAUAAAAAUAAUCGAAUACCUUCACUCAACUGUUCAUACUACAAGACAGUAACAAGUGUGUUGUAACUAGGAACCAUUGGAUUUCCGAGAUGCCUUUGGUGUGACUCUCCCAUGUGUGAAUUUGCACCUUUGGUAAGCAACAAUCAGGUGAUGAUUCUGAUCUGAGGUUCAUGCCUACAUCCUGCUUGCAAGAAUAAACAUCCUUGAUAAUUCACACUGUCUUGGACUGUAAUAUAAAAUUAAUAAAUAUUAUAAAUAUAUUUCCAAUCAA